rnacentral:rRNA from 1 species
GACGAACGCUGGCGGCGUGCUUAACACAUGCAAGUCGAACGGAAAGGCCCUGCUUUUGUGGGGUGCUCGAGUGGCGAACGGGUGAGUAACACGUGAGUAACCUGUACUUGACUUUGGGAUAACUUCAGGCAACAGGGGCUCAUCCCGGAUAGGAGCUACUGCUGCAUGGUGGGGGUUGGAAAGUUUCGGCGGUUGGGGAUGGACUCGCGGCUUAUCAGCUUGUUGGUGUGGUAGUGGCUUACCAAGGCUUUGAAGGGUGGCCGGCCUGAUAGGGUGACCGGACACAUUGGGACUGAGAUGCGGCCCAGACUCCUACGGGAGGCAGCAGUGGAGAAUAUUGCACUAUGGGCGGAAGCCUGAUGCAGCAACGCCGCGUGCGGGAUGUCGGCCUUCGGGUUGUAAACCACUUUCGCCUGUGACGAAGCGUGAGUGACGGUAAUGGGUAAAGAAGCACCGGCUAACUACGUG